rnacentral:rRNA from 1 species
ACGCGUGGAACCUUACCAGGUCUUGACAUCCUUCGCUACUUCUAGAGAUAGAAGGUUCCCCUUCGGGGGACGAAGUGACAGGUGGUGCAUGGUUGUCGUCAGCUCGUGUCGUGAGAUGUUGGGUUAAGUCCCGCAACGAGCGCAACCCUUGUCCUUAGUUGCCAUCAUUAAGUUGGGCACUCUAAGGAGACUGCCGAUGACAAAUCGGAGGAAGGUGGGGAUGACGUCAAAUCAUCAUGCCCCUUAUGACCUGGGCUACACACGUGCUACAAUGGACGGUACAAACGGUUGCCAACCCGCGAGGGGGAGCUAAUCCGAUAAAACCGUUCUCAGUUCGGAUUGUAGGCUGCAACUCGCCUACAUGAAGCCGGAAUCGCUAGUAAUCGCGGAUCAGCAUGCCGCGGUGAAUACGUUCCCGGGCCUUGCACUCACCGCCCGU